AACGCUGGCGGCGUGCCUAAUACAUGCAAGUCGAGCGAAUGGAUUGAGAGCUUGCUCUCAAGAAGUUAGCGGCGGACGGGUGAGUAACACGUGGGUAACCUGCCCAUAAGACUGGGAUAACUCCGGGAAACCGGGGCUAAUACCGGAUAACAUUUUGAACUGCAUGGUUCGAAAUUGAAAGGCGGCUUCCGGCUUGUCACUUAUGGAUGGACCCGCGUCGCAUUAGCUAGUUGGUGAGGUAACGGCUCACCAAGGCAACGAUGCGUAGCCGACCUGAGAGGGUGAUCGGCCACACUUGGGACUUGAGACACGGCCCAGACUCCUACGGGAGGCAGCAGUAGGGAAUCUUCCGCAAUGGACGAAAGUCUGACGGAGCAACGCCGCGUGAGUGAUGAAGGCUUUCGGGUCGUAAAACUCUGUUGUUAGGGAAGAACAAGUGCUAGUUGAAUAAGCUGGCACCUUGACGGUACCUAACCAGAAAGCCACGGCUAACUACGUGCCAGCAGCCGCGGUAAUACCGUAGGUGGCAAGCGUUAUCCGGAAUUAUUGGGCGUAAAGCGCGCCCAGGUGGUUCUUAAGUCUGAUGUGAAAGCCCACGGCUCACCCGUGGAGGGUCAUUGGAACUGGGAGACUUGAGUGCAGAAGAGAAAGUGGAAUUCCAUGUGUAGCGGUGAAAUGCGUAGAGAUAUGGGGAACCAGUGGCGAGCGACUUUCUGGUCUUUAACUGA
rnacentral:rRNA from 1 species